UACGUAGGGUGCGAGCGUUGUCCGGAAUUAUUGGGCGUAAAGAGCUCGUAGGCGGCCUGUCACGUCGGAUGUGAAAACCCGGGGCUCAACCCCGGGCCUGCAUCCGAUACGGGCAGGCUAGAGUGUGGUAGGGGAGAUCGGAAUUCCUGGUGUAGCGGUGAAAUGCGCAGAUAUCAGGAGGAACACCGGUGGCGAAGGCGGAUCUCUGGGCCAUUACUGACGCUGAGGAGCGAAAGCGUGGGGAGCGAACAGG
rnacentral:rRNA from 2 species